CCGGGGCUUAGUGCCGCAGCUAACGCAUUAACCACUCCGCCUGGGGAGUACGACCGCAUGGUUGAAACUCAAAGGAAUUGACGGGGGCCCGCACAAGCGGUGGAGCAUGUGGUUUAAUUCGAAGCAACGCGAAGAACCUUACCAGGUCUUGACAUCCCGAUGCCCGCUCUAGAGAUAGAGUUUUACUUCGGUACAUCGGUGACAGGUGGUGCAUGGUUGUCGUCAGCUCGUGUCGUGAGAUGUUGGGUUAAGUCCCGCAACGAGCGCAACCCUUAUUGUUAGUUGCCAUCAUUCAGUUGGGCACUCUAGCGAGACUGCCGGUAAUAAACCGGAGGAAGGUGGGGAUGACGUCAAAUCAUCAUGCCCCUUAUGACCUGGGCUACACACGUGCUACAAUGGCUGGUACAACGAGUCGCAAGUCGGUGACGGCAAGCUAAUCUCUUAAAGCCAGUCUCAGUUCGGAUUGUAGGCUGCAACUCGCCUUCAUGAAGUCGGAAUCGCUAGUAAUCGCGGAUCAGCACGCCGCGGUGAAUACGUUCCCGGGCCUUGUACACACCGCCCGUCACACCA
rnacentral:rRNA from 1 species